rnacentral:rRNA from 1 species
GAGUUUGAUCGUGGCUCAGGAUGAACGCCGGCGGUGUGCCUAAUACAUGCAAGUCGUACGCACUGGCCCAACUGAUUGAUGGUGCUUGCACCUGAUCGACGAUGGAUCACCAGUGAGUGGCGGACGGGUGAGUAACACGUAGGUAACCUGCCCUGUACGGGGGAUAACAAUCAGAAAUGACUGCUAAUACCGCAUAAGACCACAGCACCGCAUGGUGCAGGGGUAAAAACUCCGGUGGUACAGGAUGGACCCGCGUCUGAUUAGCUGGUUGGUGAGGUAACGGCUCACCAAGGCGACGAUCAGUAGCCGGCUUGAGAGAGUGAACGGCCACAUUGGGACUGAGACACGGCCCAAACUCCUACGGGAGGCAGCAGUGGGGAAUAUUGCACAAUGGGGGAAACCCUGAUGCAGCAACGCCGCGUGAGUGAAGAAGUAUUUCGGUAUGUAAAGCUCUAUCAGCAGGGAAGAAAGUGACGGUACCUGACUAAGAAGCCCGGCUAACUACGUCG